GUUGGCCGAAUCCGAAGCGGACGAGGAGCUAGAUUGUGAUCCUAGUGUUAGCGGGUUCAAGUCCCGUCGGUCACCCCA
rnacentral:tRNA from 1 species